GGAGGAGGCAUCCAAAGGGAUCGCAUUGAUCCCAAAUUUCAGAUUUAUAAAUUUGUCUUUCUCUUCCCUUGUCAAUAUUUGGGAUCAUUUCUCUUCCCUUCUCAAUAUUUGGGAUCAUGCUAUCCCUUUGGAUUCCUCCUU
rnacentral:miRNA from 11 species